rnacentral:rRNA from 1 species
GAGGAAUAUUGGUCAAUGGACGAGAGUCUGAACCAGCCAAGUAGCGUGAAGGAUGACUGCCCCUAUGGGUUGUAAACUUCUUUUAUAUGGGAAUAAAGUGUUCCACGUGUGGGAUUUUGUAUGUACCAUAUGAAUAAGGAUCGGCUAACUCC